UGAUAUGAUCAUACCAAUGUUAACUCUGGAUCCCAUCAGAACUCUGAAGUUAAUCGUGCUUGGGUGAGACUCUAGAGUGGUACAAUGACAGAUGAUACUUUGGAAGUCCUCAUGUUGUAUCUC
rnacentral:rRNA from 2 species